UAGGGAAUCUUCGGCAAUGGACGGAAGUCUGACCGAGCAACGCCGCGUGAGUGAAGAAGGUUUUCGGAUCGUAAAGCUCUGUUGUUAGAGAAGAACGUUGGUAGGAGUGGAAAAUCUACCAAGUGACGGUAACUAACCAGAAAGGGACGGCUAACUACGUGCCAGCAGCCGCGGUAAUACGUAGGUCCCGAGCGUUGUCCGGAUUUAUUGGGCGUAAAGCGAGCGCAGGCGGUUCUUUAAGUCUGAAGUUAAAGGCAGUGGCUUAACCAUUGUACGCUUUGGAAACUGGAGGACUUGAGUGCAGAAGGGGGGAGUGGAAUUCCAUGUGUAGCGGUAAAAUGCGUAGAUAUAUGGAGGAACACCGGUGGCGAAAGCGGCUCUCUGGUCUGUAACUGACGCUGAGGCUCGAAAGCGUGGGGAGCAAACAGG
rnacentral:rRNA from 1 species